UUCUUUAACACGAGAAUAUUGAUCAUUAAUCAUCUUUCUUAUACAAUUAUCUAUUGCCUGAGAUGUAGCUUCAGAAUAUGGUUUAUAUAAAGAAUAACUACUGGUAUUAUUUGAAUUUGAAGAAGUUCCAUCAAUAUUCAUAUUGGAAUUAAAAGUUGUUAAUCCAAUCUGAGGGUCCAUUCCGUAUAAAGUUAUCAUUGAAUUAGCAAUCAUUGUAGCUUUUUGGAGAUCAUCAUAUGCACCUGUUGUAAUCGAUUCUGAAUAUAACUCUUCAGAAGCCCUUCCUGCUAAUAGAACUGCAAUUUUAUCAAGCAAAGCCUCUUUUGAAAGAAGUCUUAAUUCAUUUGGAACCAUUUGAGCAAAUCCUAAAGCACCUCCUGUUCUUGGUACUAUAGAAACUUUUAAUAUAGGAUCAGCAUGUUUUAAAUACCAACCAGCAAUUGCAUGACCAGAUUCAUGUAAACUAACAAUUUUCUUCUCUUUUGGUGAAAGAUAACCAUCCAAUUUCUUAAGACCGCCAAUAAUUCUAUCAGAUGCUUUAUCAAAAUCAAUCAAAUCAACUCCAGAAUUACUAGUUCGCCUUGCUGCAUGUAUAGCAGCUUCAUUACAUAAAUUUCUAAUUUCAGAUCCAACAAAACCUGGAGAUAAGCAAGCAAGAUAUUUAAUUAACUCAUCUUUAUUCAAUUUUUCAUUCAACUUUAAAGGUUUUAGAUGGAUCUUAAAAAUCUCUUUACGCUCUUCAAGAUUUGGUCUUUCAAUAUUAAUAAUCCUAUCAAAUCUUCCUGGACGUGUUAAUGCGGGAUCUAAUACAUCAGAACGAUUUGUUCCUGCUAAAACUAUUACUCCAUUAUUUUCAGUAAAUCCAUCCAUUUCUACAAGAAUCUGAUUAAGAGUGCUUUCUCUCUCAUCAUUAGAUGAAGCAGCAAAUCCACCCCCUUUUGCACGCUUUCUUCCAACUGCAUCAAUUUCAUCAAUAAAAACAAUACUUGGAGAUAAUUUUCUUGCCUGUGAAAAUAAUUCUCUUACUCUACUUGCACCCAUUCCAACAAAAAUCUCAAUAAAAUCACUUCCAGAUAUAUAAAAAAAUGGUACAUUAGCUUCACCAGCAACAGCUUUUGCCAAUAAUGUUUUACCGGUACCUGGUGGUCCUACCAAUAAAGCACCUUUUGGUAUUUUUGCACCAAGAUCUUGAAAUCUUUUUGGAUCUUUUAAGAAUUCUACCAAUUCAUAUAUUUCUUGUUUGGCUUCUUUCAUUCCAGCAAUAUCACUAAAUUUAAUAUUUUUAUUCAUAUUUUUAACUUGGCUAAAACUUGAAUAAUUUGAUUUAAUUAAUCUAUCUGAAGCUGAAUUACUUAUAGAUUUUGAGAAAGAUCUUAAUAAUAAUAAAGCUAUUGUAAUUCCUAUUGCUCUUGGAAGUAAAUCAUUCACAAUUUUUUUAAAUGAUAUUAAAUGAG
rnacentral:antisense_RNA from 1 species